UACGUAGGGGGCAAGCGUUGUCCGGAUUCAUUGGGCGUAAAGAGCGUGUAGGCGGCCAGGUAGGUCGGUUGUGAAAACUGGAGGCUCAACCUUCAGAGGUCGACCGAAACCAUCUGGCUAGAGUCCGGGAGAGGAGAGUGGAAUUCCUGGUGUAGCGGUGAAAUGCGCAGAUAUCAGGAAGAACACCCGUGGCGAAAGCGGCGCUCUGGAACGGUACUGACGCUGAAACGCGAAAGCGUGGGGAGCGAACAGG
rnacentral:rRNA from 1 species